rfam:Schizopora paradoxa strain KTC8140 unplaced genomic scaffold SCHPAscaffold_00067, whole genome shotgun sequence.
UGCCCUGUGGCUUAGUUGGCUAAAGCGUGUGACUGUUACGGUUCAUUGGAAUACGAGCACAUCACAAGAUCGAGAGUUCGACCCUCUCCGGGGCAG